UACAGAGGGUGCAAGCGUUGUUCGGAAUUAUUGGGCGUAAAGGGCGUGUAGGCGGUCUGCUAAGUCAUGUGUGAAAUCCCUCGGCUUAACCGAGGAACGACGCAUGAAACUGGCAAGCUAGAGUACCAAAGAGGGGGGUGGAAUUCCAGGUGUAGCGGUGAAAUGCGUAGAUAUCUGGAGGAAUACCGGUGGCGAAGGCGGCAUCCUGGACCGGCAUUGACGCUGAGGAGCGAAAGCCAGGGGAGCAAACGGG
rnacentral:rRNA from 1 species